CGGCAACAAUGCUCGCCCUCUUUGCCGCCAGGAGAACUGCUGCGUCCAAGCUCUUGGAGAAGCUUCUCAUCUCCCCUAGCCGCCCACCCGUGGCAGCUGUCGCCAUCGUCACCCGCUCCCCCAACACCAACGCCACCCGCCGCGAGUUCCACGAGAAGGACGACCGCGGCCUCGACUCCUUCCUAGGUAAUCUUCACCUCUUUCCGCGUUAGGAUCGUCGUCUCUUCUUCCUUUUCGCUGUAGAUAGGAUCGAGAUGCUAAACCGAGAAUGACGAUUUUGUUUGGCCGCUGAGGUGUUCGAGCUAUUGUCUGAGCCACAAACGGGCUGUUGGACGCUUGGCUAGUGUGAAUUCCCCAAGUUGGUUGGACCAUGGGAUGACCCACUAACCAAUGGUCGGAUCAAUUGGGUCACAUCACCAAUUAAGUCGAGCUCGCUAGAGUCACCUGCGUAGGGCUAAUCCAAUGUUGGGAAAGCGAUCGCUUAAACUCACCCGAUCAGUGCGGCCCUUAAGAAGCCGAAUUAAUACGGCCCAUGUAUUGGGUCGGACACCUAUGCCCGCCCACAUUGGUUCGAGUGCCUGACAACGCUUGCUUUAGGUCAGACUUGGCAUGCCCAUGCUGGGUUUGACUUACAUUGUGCCUACUUGCUCAAGACAGACUAUAGCUGACCCAAGCUUGCUCUAGUCGAUGUCAAACCGCACCGACAUUGACUAGAUUAAAUCGGAUCAUCUCAACAUUUAUAGUCGACAAUUGACUUUGGGGCGAACAAUAGACUUUUAAUGUUAACAUCAUAGGCAUAAUUCAUAAUAAACAUGAAUUAAAUUUUAUUCAAAUCCAGGUAUUCAACUGGUUUAAAACAUAACAUCAUAGGCAUAAUUCAUUUUUUUAAAUUUUAUUAUUUUCUCACAAACACAAACGAAAACAACAAAAAUAAUUAAUUAAUAUUUUAAUUUAUCAAAUAAAUAAUUAUUAGUUUAGGAAUGCAUAUAGUAAUUUGAUGGCAUCCUAACCCUUAGCUUUCUUAGCCACUAUUUGAAUGACAAUUAUUUAAGAUGUUUUAUGUGUUCAUGUCUACUCAAUUGCUUCAAUUUUUUUUAGAAAAAAUAAAACGUACUAAAAGCUAAGUCCCUUUCUUUAGGUUGAAUAAAGGUAUUCAUAACCAUUAAUGUUGAGAUGACAAUGGAUAUUCGCAUCAAUCUACCCCCUCUUAAGCCAAAUAAAUGCAUAUGUUAAUUAUAUUCAAGAUAACCACAACAAGAAAAUAUUAAUGUUGAAUUUGAGAAAACAUUUGGAGCACUUAAAUACUUCACCAAGUUUAAGAAAGGGUAAAGUAAAAUUCACAAAUAUCCUACCCUUUGCUUGUUGAAAGCUUUACAUUUUGUAGUGACAUUCAAUAAAAAUAUGAUAAAGGAGUAAAUGCAAUGUUCAUCCAUAUAUAGUUGACAAGUCUUUCCAUAAAUGAUCAUACAACUGGGGUCUAGUUUUGUCCUCAUCUCCUAGUUAGGUGUUGGAUGCUUGAUAUUUUUGAGGGACACGUGAUAGUAAUCUAACAAACACUCGGAUGUGCUGAUUGUUUGACUAUAUUUACCAAGACAUGGUACAUUAAGUCUUCUCAUUAAUGGUCGUACAUUUGAGUUAUGUUCUUUUGUCCACAUCAAUAAAGUGGAGGACCAUUAAAAAGAUGAGAACAAUCUUAGCGAUCAUAUGACAAACAAUCCAUGCUCUACAAACAAAUUAUUCAACAUUUUUAUCUUUUUUUUUUGUUAGAUAGACAAUGUUUAUUACAUAAUAAAGUUUGCAUUAGGUUUUCGUCGACGUUAUAAACCUACAUGAUGGGUAAAAUGUUAUUAAGUUCAUCAAAUCAUCAUGAAAAAUUUGGGUUAGUAUGAUCUUUCAUAGGCAUGAUGUGAUAAGACAACAGAUGAGGAAAUCUCGCUGCUAAGGGUAUUGAUGAGUACUUGAAGAUACACUGUGAUAAGACAAUAUGCGGAGGAUAUUAAUGAGUACUUGAAGAACUUCGUGUGACUAAGGGUCCUCCAUCUUAUGCACACAAAAAUCGAGAGCCUACCACACUACAUCAGAAAUUUGAUACACUUGAGAUAUUUGAAUGUGUCUCAUAGCCGUAUAACGGAGCUUCUAGAAAGCAUAUGUAAUCUGACGAAUUUAUAGUUUUUGAUCCUCAAAGGAUGUUUCAAUUUGAGACAUAUCCCCCAGGGUAUAGUUAGGCUAGUCAAUCUAAGGACACUCGAUUGUAGAGGUACACGGCUGGAGAGCUUUCCAUAUGGAAUAAAAAGGUUGAAGCACCUCAAUGAACUCCAAGGAUUCAUCGUGAACACGGGUAAUGGUAUGUGCCCAUUGGAAGCAUUAUGUGGCCUCCAGGAGCUCGGAGACCUCUCCGUUGACAGGUUGGAGAGGGCGUGGCUGGAAGCUGAACCGGGAAGAGAUACGAGCGUCUUAAACGCUGGAUGGUGUCUGCAAGCAUCAGUUCGCUUCUUCGAAAGAUAAGUCGCUUGGAACUAAUUAACUGCGAUCAUUGGCCACUGCUUCCACCGCUAGGGAAGCUCCCCAGUUUGGAGUUUCUUCACAUAGUAGGUGCACGUGCAGUGACCACCAUCGGACCGGAAUUUUUUGGGUGUGAAGCUGCUGCUACUGGUCAUGAACGGGAACAGAAUUCAAAGCGCCCUUCUUCUUCUUCUUCUUCUCCUUCUCCUCCUUCGUUAUUUCCGAAACUAAGGCAGCUGGAACUCUAGAAUAUGACUAACAUGCAAGUGUGGGAUUAGGUAGCGGAAGGUUUUGCUAUGCGUCGCCUCGACAAAUUGGUCCUCGAAAAUUGCCCCAAAUUGAAGUCUCUACCGGAAGGCCUGAUCUGACAGGCAACCUGCUUAACCACAUUGGAUCUGACCGAUGUGUGUGCUCUCAAGUGCAUCAGAGGUUUCCCUUCUCUAAAAGAACUGAGUAUAAGUGGUAAAUCAGAUCUGGAGAUUGAUACUGAUCUCCCUGCACUAGAGCUCUUGAAGUUGGGCACAUUUGGAUCUUGCAUCAAUCAUUUACCAUAGUGGUUGGCGGAUUGCCCUGUAUGUUUCACUACACUACAGAGACUGGACGUACACGGAACCACCCAACUCCUUCGCAGAUGCCUCCAAAAUGGCGCAGACUGGCCCAUGAUCAAACACUUUCCAACGUUUUCCAUCAAAGAUGGCCGAGGCAAUUAUAUAAACUACAUCAAGCGUUCCUGCACCUUCGAGACAAACCUAGUCGAUGAUGAUGAUGCUUUUGCUGCUGCUGCUGAAGAAGACGAAGAUGAAAAAAGACAUCAAUGAGCUUUGAGGUAACUUACCUUUCUUGCUCAUGUCUCGACCAUUUAACGUCUUCUGGUUUUGGAGUGGCAACUCACAAUCAUUCCCAACAGAGCUGACCAUGGAAAGUCCGAGACUUUUGAGCGGAAAUGCAGAUCGAGAGGUUGGUUGCGACUCAUACUACAUUCCUGAUGUAGUAUAUAAAUUGAAAUGAAACUAUAUAAAUUGAGGAACAUACAGAUCAUGUGUUGUGGAAUUACUGUAGAACUAAGAUGCAGACCUGUGAGCCUGUCAAAUAUCUGAUGUAGCUGUACUAGACAAAGAAGUAGUUUUCUGAUUUGUUCUUCUGAAUA